rfam:Drosophila simulans chromosome 2L, whole genome shotgun sequence.
GUGAGUUGAUCGAUUUCGAGUUUUUGGCCACAAAUAUAAUCUGGAAUCUUUAAUUCGCAG